rnacentral:rRNA from 1 species
GACGAACGCUGGCGGCGUGCUUAACACAUGCAAGUCGAACGGAAAGGCCCUGCUUUUGUGGGGUGCUCGAGUGGCGAACGGGUGAGUAACACGUGAGUAACCUGCCCUUGACUUUGGGAUAACUUAAGGAAACUGGGGCUAAUACCGGAUAGGAGCUCCUGCUGCAUGGUGGGGGUUGGAAAGUUUCGGCGGUUGGGGAUGGACUCGCGGCGUAUCAGCUUGUUGGCUGGGUAGUGGCUUACCAUGGCUUUGACGGGUAGCCGGCCUGGGCGGGUGACCGGCCACAUUGGGACUGGGAUACGGCCCAGACUCGUACGGGGGGCAGCGGUGGAGAAUAGUACACAGGAGGCUGAGGCCUGAUGCGGCAACGCCGCGUGCGGGAUGACGGCCUUCGGUUUGUAUACCGCUUUCGCCUUUGACGGAGCGUGAGUGACGGUAAUGGGUAAAGAAGCACCGGCUAACUACGUG